rnacentral:rRNA from 1 species
UUUACACUGCUCGCAAGUGCGAUAAGGGAAUCCGAGUGCGAGGGCAUAUAGUCCUCGCUUUUGAGACCGUAAGGUGGUUCUCGAAUAAGAGCUGGGCAAGACCGGUGCCAGCCGCCGCGGUAAUACCGGCAGCUCAAGUGAUGGCCAAUCUUAUUGGGCCUAAAGCGUCCGUAGCUGGCCGUGAAAGUUCGUCGGGAAAUCCAUCCGCUCAACGGAUGGGCGUCCGGCGAAAACUUCACGGCUUGGGACCGGAAGGCUCGAGGGGUACGUCCGGNGUAGGAGUGAAAUCCUGUAAUCCUGGACGGACCGCCGAUGGCGAAAGCACCUCGAGAAGACGGAUCCGACAGUGAGGGACGAAAGCUAGGGUCUCGAACCGGAUUAGAUACCCGGGUAGUCCUAGCCGUAAACGAUGUUCACUAGGUGUGGCACAGGCUACGAGCCUGUGCUGUGCCGUAGGGAAGCCGAGAAGUGAACCGCCUGGGAAGUACGUCCGCAAGGAUGAAACUUAAAGGAAUUGGCGGGGGAGCACUACAACCGGAGGAGCCUGCGGUUUAAUUGGACUCAACGCCGGACAUCUCACCAGCUCCGACUACAGUAAUGACGGUCAGGUUGAUGACCUUACCACGAGCUGUAGAGAGGAGGUGCAUGGCCGCCGUCAGCUCGUACCGUGAGGCGUCCUGUUAAGUCAGGCAACGAGCGAGACCCACGCACCUAAUUGCCAGCAGCAGUUCCGACUGGCUGGGUACAUUAGGUGGACUGCCAGUGCCAAACUGGAGGAAGGAAUGGGCAACGGUAGGUCAGUAUGCCCCGAAUGAGCUGGGCUACACGCGGGCUACAAUGGCCGAAACAAUGGGUUGCUAUCUCGAAAGAGAACGCUAAUCUCCGAAAUUCGGUCGUAGUUCGGAUUGAGGGCUGAAACUCGCCCUCAUGAAGCUGGAUUCGGUAGUAAUCGCAUUUCACAAGAGUGCGGUGAAUACGUCCCUGCUCCUUGCACACACCGCCCGUCAAAGCACCCGAGUGAGGUCCGGAUGAGGCUAUCGCAAGAUAGUCGA